rnacentral:tRNA from 1 species
AGGUGUAUAGCUCAGUUGGUAGAGCAUCAGACUUUUAAUUUGAACGUCUUGGGUUCGAUCCCCAAUGCACCUA